GGGUUGGUCUAUGCUUCGGUCUUAUUUCGGCUGUGCGCUCAGGCUGCACGCCGUUAACCUCUCACACCUGUGCACCUUUUCGGUUGCGGCUUCGGCCGCUUCCGCUUUUACAUGCAACCACGAAAAGUCUAGAAUGUGACGAGAACUAUAAAGUAACAACUUUCAACAACGGAUCUCUUGGCUCUCGCAUCGAUGAAGAACGCAGCGAAAUGCGAUAAGUAAUGUGAAUUGCAGAAUUCAGUGAAUCAUCGAAUCUUUGAACGCACCUUGCGCUCCUUGGUAUUCCAUGGAGCAUGCCUGUUUGAGUGUCACGUAAACCCUCACCCCUGCGAUGUAACAGUCGCCUGCGGUGGACUUGGACCGUGCCGGUAAUCGGCUCGUCUUGAAAUGCAUUAGCUGGUGCUUUUAGAGUGCUGGGCGAACGGUGUGAUAAUUAUCUGCGCCGACUGCCCUGGGCCUCUUCAGCGGCGCUGCUUACAGCCGUCCCUUGUGGACAACUAUUUUAAAGCUUUGGCCUCAAAUCAGGUAGGACUACCCGCUGAACUUAAGCAUAUCAAUAAGCGGAGGAA
rnacentral:rRNA from 1 species